rnacentral:rRNA from 1 species
AACGAACGCUGGCGGCAGGCCUAACACAUGCAAGUCGAACGCGAAAGCCCUUCGGGGUGAGUAGAGUGGCGCACGGGUGAGUAACGCGUGGGAACGUACCUUGAAGUGCGGAAUAACCUCGGGAAACUGGGAUUAAUACCGCAUAACGUCUCUGGAGCAAUCUGGGGACCAAAGAUUUAUCGCUUCAAGAUCGGCCCGCGUGGGAUUAGCUAGUUGGUGAGGUAAUGGCUCACCAAGGCUACGAUCUCUAGCUGGUUUGAGAGGAUGAUCAGCCACACUGGGACUGAGACACGGCCCAG